rnacentral:rRNA from 1 species
GAUGAACGCUAGCGGCAGGCCUAAUACAUGCAAGUCGUGGGGUAACCCUGCAGCAAUGUAGGGCUAGACCGGCAAACGGGUGAGUAACACGUACGCAACCUGCCUCUAACUGGAGGAUAGCCCCUCGAAAGAGGGAUUAAUACUCCAUGAUGUUACGGAAGGGCAUCCUUCUGUAACCAAAGCUCCGGCGGUUAGAGAGGGGCGUGCGUCCCAUUAGGUAGUUGGUAGGGUAACGGCCUACCAAGCCGACGAUGGGUAGCUGGCGUGAGAGCGCGACCAGCCACACGGGCACUGAGACACGGGCCCGACUCCUACGGGAGGCAGCAGUAAGGAAUAUUGGUCAAUGGGCGCAAGCCUGAACCAGCCAUGCCGCGUGCAGGAUGAAGGCCCUCAGGGUUGUAAACUGCUUUUCUCAGGGAAGAAACCCUCGUUUUCUAACGAGGCUGACGGUACCUGAGGAAUAAGCACCGGCUAACUCCGUGCCAGCAGCCGCGGUAAUACGGAGGGUGCGAGCGUUAUCCGGAUUCACUGGGUUUAAAGGGUGUGUAGGCGGGCAGGUAAGUCAGCGGUGAAAGCCCCGAGCUUAACUUGGGAAUUGCCGUUGAUACUAUCUGUCUUGAAUGUUGUGGAGGCGAGCGGAAUAUGGCAUGUAGCGGUGAAAUGCUUAGAUAUGCCAUAGAACACCGAUUGCGAAGGCAGCUCGCUACGCAACCAUUGACGCUGAGGCACGAAAGCGUGGGGAGCAAACAGGGAUUAGAUACCCUGGGUAGUCCACGCCCCUAAACGAUGAUCACUCGACAUUGGCGAUAUACUGUCAGUGUCUAAGCGAAAGCAUUAAGUGAUCCACCUGGGGAGUACGACCGCAAGGUUGAAACUCAAAGGAAUUGACGGGGGUCCGCACAAGCGAUGGAGCAUGUGGUUUAAUUCGAUGGUACGCGAGGAACCUUACCUGGGCUAGAAUGCCGGGGGACAGGGAGUGAAAGCUCCUCUUCCCGCAAGGGACCGUCGGCAAGGUGCUGCAUGGCUGUCGUCAGCUCGUGCCGUGAGGUGUUGGGUUAAGUCCCGCAACGAGCGCAACCCUCAUCACUAGUUGCCAUCAGGUCAUGCUGGGAACUCUAGUGAAACUGCCGUCGUAAGACGUGAGGAAGGAGGGGACGACGUCAAGUCAUCAUGGCCUUUAUGCCCAGGGCUACACACGUGCUACAAUGGCGAGUAUAAAGGGUUGCUACCUGGCGACAGGACGCUAAUCCCAAAAAACUCGUCUCGGUACGGAUUGCAGUCUGCAACUCGACUGCAUGAAGCUGGAAUCGCUAGUAAUCGCGCAUCAGCAAUGGCGCGGUGAAUACGUUCCCGGACCUUGUACACACCGCCCGUCAAGCCAUGGGAGCCGGGUGUACCUGAAGUCGGUAACCGCAAGGAGCCGCCUAGGGUAAAACCGGUGACUGGGGC